rnacentral:rRNA from 1 species
GGGGAAUAUUGCACAAUGGGGGAAACCCUGAUGCAGCGACGCCGCGUGGAGGAAGAAGGUCUUCGGAUUGUAAACUCCUGUUGUUGGGGAAGAUAAUGACGGUACCCAACAAGGAAGUGACGGCUAACUACGUGCCAGCAGCCGCGGUAAAACGUAGGUCACAAGCGUUGUCCGGAAUUACUGGGUGUAAAGGGAGCGCAGGCGGGAAGACAAGUUGGAAGUGAAAUCUAUGGGCUCAACCCAUAAACUGCUUUCAAAACUGUUUUUCUUGAGUAGUGCAGAGGUAGGCGGAAUUCCCGGUGUAGCGGUGGAAUGCGUAGAUAUCGGGAGGAACACCAGUGGCGAAGGCGGCCUACUGGGCACCCAACUGACGCUGAGGCUCGAAAGUGUGGGUAGCAAACAGGAUUAGAUACCCUGGUAGUCCACACCGUAAACGAUGAUUACUAGGUGUUGGAGGAUUGACCCCUUCAGUGCCGCAGUUAACACAAUAAGUAAUCCACCUGGGGAGUACGACCGCAAGGUUGAAACUCAAAGGAAUUGACGGGGGCCCGCACAAGCAGUGGAGUAUGUGGUUUAAUUCGACGCAACGCGAAGAACCUUACCAAGUCUUGACAUCCUGCGACGGAUAUAGAAAUAUGUCUUUCCUUCGGGACGCAGAGACAGGUGGUGCAUGGUUGUCGUCAGCUCGUGUCGUGAGAUGUUGGGUUAAGUCCCGCAACGAGCGCAACCCUUAUGGUCAGUUACUACGCAAGAGGACUCUGGCCAGACUGCCGUUGACAAAACGGAGGAAGGUGGGGAUGACGUCAAAUCAUCAUGCCCUUUAUGACUUGGGCUACACACGUACUACAAUGGCGUUAAACAAAGAGAAGCAAGACCGCGAGGUGGAGCAAAACUCAGAAACAACGUCCCAGUUCGGACUGCAGGCUGCAACUCGCCUGCACGAAGUCGGAAUUGCUAGUAAUCGUGGAUCAGCAUGCCACGGUGAAUACGUUCCCG